ensembl:lncRNA
CCCCAUUUAACAUCACACGAGAACGGACUCCUCCUGGACCGUUUGCGGCGUCGCUUCUCUCAGAUCACAGAGAGGAAAUCAUCAUCAUCAUCAUCAUCAUCAUCAUCAUCAUCACGCGGACUCAGAUGGCCCGAGGCGCUGCGUCGAUGAAAUUGGAUAUUUAAGGCAGUGCAGAAAGCAGUUCACGUUCACUCUCAGCGGGCGCGCGGCUGGAGAGUCAGAGGGGGUAGACGCGCGCUCUGUAACUGACUGACAAAUAAUAUGAGGCUACAGUGUUGUGAACGAGGCUUCAUAUAACGUGACCGGGAAGAGAACAAGGCACGGACUCGAGUCCUCGUUCAACGCGGAGGCUGAGGAGGAGGACGGUGGAUGACCGCGAGCGCUCCCUUCAGCGCGCAUUACCAAUGCGUCAGAAGAGCGCGUGUCUCUGAACUCCAGCUGCAGACAUUUGGCACGGACUUGCUUGACGUUGCUAAUUGGAGCUCAAAACGUUGCAUGUCACUGAAUGCAAAACUGUAUGCAGGUGGGUUUGUGCCCCCCUAAUGUUGUUCUGGCUUGAUCAACCAUGCCUUUUUAGGUGAAGGAACCCACUUGUAGUGGCGAAUAAAGCCUUUCCCGUUUCACAGGUCCAAAAUCUUGAGGGGGAUGAACUGUGCUGUCAGCAUACUGGAAACACUAAACCAGCUUGUAGGAGGCAGAGAGCUCAGUGAGUCUCUCAAAGAAUAUGUAAUGCAACACCAUCUCUGAUUCUGCUGAGACCUGCGAAUGAAGGCUUAGGAGGUGCAGAGCUCCCUCAGCAAACCAUGAAGAUAAAUCCAUUUCAUUGAGGCACUGAUAAAAAUCAAUUCAGGUGCCAUAAUUUAAAUCAGAUCAACUGAAGAACCAUAUCUCUCUCUAUAUAUAUGCAUAUAUUUUAUGCAUUAGAUAGAUAGGGUAUUAGUUUUUCAUUUUAGAAUACUUUUUCCUCUGCAAUGCCAGACAGCAUUCCAAAGAACACAUCCAGACUCUCUCAGGCCCGUAUUAUCUGAUCGGGUUCAGACUGAAUUUCAGCAUUUUGUCAGCAUGUAAGUUUUUCCUGCCAGAUCUUCUUUCAGUUCACCUUGCUGGGUUGUCCUUGGACUGACUGCUAAAGCAUCAUGUAGUGCGUCUCACUGCAGUUUCAGAAGUAGGUUGGACCCAUUUUCACACAAGGAGCUGCAAGAAUUCACUGAUUGCCGUCUUUCACCUUUAUAGGAGGGAGAUAUAUGGAUGCUGUACUAUGGAAUAUAAAAGUGAGAGAAUUAAAAGGAGAGUUCACCCAAAAAUUGAUGGGCUGUUGUUACUUAAUUACUUACUCAUUAAACCCAUCAAAGCUUUGUUGCCACAUGCAAAGAGUACAGAAU